ACCACAUGACAGUGUGUUAAAAUUUAAAUUCUGUUAGUGCUGCACUAAAGGAAUCGUUAGUAAUAAGCUGAUGCAGUGAAGGAACUGAACAAUUGUGGGAACGUAUUUGGGCCCAAAAUGGGUGUGGUACAGAAACCCAGAAAUGGCACGAGUUCAACAUGAAACAUGGAUUAGAUUUUAACGGGGGAUCAAAUCAAGUCUGGAAGUGUUACAGAAUGGAAGAGUGAGCCUACAGAUGAAAAAACAAUGAGAGUGCAUUACCGUAAGGUGUGAGGUAAAUUAAUAGAGUAAUGCAAAUUGCCUAAUGAGAAGUACCAUCUUGUGUUAAUGAAUCCAGUACAACAGCAAUCCUUUAUAGUUCUGUCACAGCUAGAAGCCUCAAAUAAUUCUGCUUCUCUGUCUAAAGAACAACUUGUCCUUUACGUUCAGAGUGUUGGGGAAACUGGGUACUUAAAUGGCCCUAAAGAUGUUUUAAUUUUGCUGCUAUUGCAGAGAUGAACAUCAUACAUGGACUCUUUAGGUCUUAUCUACCAAAAAAAUUUUAUCCAAUAGGAAAGGAUUUUCAUGUACUGGGAACACAACUAUCAACAAUGCAACAUUCUACAGGUGCUAGUUUAUCAAUCAAGAGCCUUAUACAAUGAAGUAAUCUGCAAUUUGAAUGUCCUUUCCCAAGCUUC